AAUAGUAUGCCUGAUUAAAGGAUUAUUCUGAUGGAGUAAAAUAUGUAUUUUUUAAAAUGCUACUAUUG
rnacentral:tRNA from 1 species